rnacentral:rRNA from 1 species
UACGGAGGGUGCAAGCGUUGUUCGGAAUUAUUGGGCGUAAAGGGCAGGUAGGUGGUCUUGAAAGUCUGCUGUGAAAUCCCCGAGCUUAACUUGGGAAGUGCGGCAGAUACUCCAAGACUAGAGUACUGGAGGGGUUCGUGGAAUUCCCGGUGGUAGCGGUGAAAUGCGUAGAUAUCGGGAGGAACACCAGAGGCGAAGGCGGCGAACUGGACAGUAACUGACACUCAACUGCGAAAGCGUGGGGAG